ACUUCCAAUCGAUGAUGUCACGGCAUAGUCAAAAAUCCAAAGCGUUUGUCCAAAAUGACCGACGUUACAACCAGAGUACGAAAGAGGAAAACCAGCUUUUGUAGAAACCUGUUAGUUGACAGCAAGUGAAAAGGGCUGAGAGGGCGAGUGGAGGGGUUCCUGCAUCCUGCGCUGAUGGCCUGCAGGCUAUCCUUCAAAUGACCACCGCUGGGACAGUUACUGCUGCAAUCGCAAGACACAUUUACAGAUCUCCAAAAGGCAGCACUGUGGCAGCCCUGGAAAAGCUGCGAGAGUUCGAUUCAAAGUCGGCCUGCUCCCACAACAUCCUCGCUAAACACAGCGAGUCUAAGUGAACUGUGUCCAGAUGGAGUGCUGCUCGCUCUCUUCGCCAGCGGCUCAGAGCCGGCCUUCGGGGCCGAGAGGAGGAUGUGCGCAGAGGAGAGGAGRMGACGAGUGGAGGGUGUUGGAGCGCGAGCCCGUCUCUCCGGCUGUCUAUUUGAGCGCGGCUCCAACUUUAAUGAAGAAGAAGGAAAAAAAAAAAGAAACACUCCUCUAAAGUGUGAUCUAAGUGUUCGAGUGCACACUCUGCACAUUCCCUAAUUAAGAAGUCUACGGGGAUACUCCUUGAAAGCUUGGUGCAUAUACAGUGGUUGAGUGUAUGUAGAUAGAUGGAGUCCUGGGAAGCUGAGUAAUGCACUGCACUCCACCAGCUGAACACAAGCAGGAUUUAAAGCAGAAACUGGAGCCACAGAGGGAACGCCGAGACUCUCCUUGGGGUUCAUUCCAAAGUUAAUUUACUUGACUCUGUUUAAAGGGGCAUUUUGAAGUUAACUCACCUUGUGUUCCCAGUGUCUGUGCUGCAUCAUCGAAAAGUACAGUGCAGGUACUUAUGCUGCGAUAUAACUUAUGCCUUUUGCAAAACGUAAAAAGAAAGUGGGCCCCAUUUCAAUCCUGGAGUUUUCGAAAUCAGAACAUAGGAGCUAUGAUUUGGUUUUUACUGGGUUUACCAGGUAAACUUCAGGUGCAAUUUAUCCUUGAGUGCACAAAAAAAUACACCACAGAAUCCAUUUUGUCUUUAUUUUUUAAAGGAGAAUAAACUAAAGAGUAAAAACUUUAUUAUCAUUAACUUUUAGGAAUCCUGGUCUGUUUGACUUCAUCAGACUCACAUCAUUAUGAGGGACGUCUGUUAAACUUUUCCUUAGAAAGU